rnacentral:rRNA from 1 species
UACGUAGGGUCCGAGCGUUGUCCGGAAUUACUGGGCGUAAAGAGCUCGUAGGUGGUUUGUCGCGUUGUUCGUGAAAACUCACAGCUUAACUGUGGGCGUGCGGGCGAUACGGGCAGACUGGAGUACUGCAGGGGAGACUGGAAUUCCUGGUGUAGCGGUGGAAUGCGCAGAUAUCAGGAGGAACACCGGUGGCGAAGGCGGGUCUCUGGGCAGUAACUGGCGCUGAGGAGCGAAAGCGUGGGGAGCGAACAGG